rnacentral:lncRNA from 1 species
UCAUAAAGUAUACUUAAAAUAUACUUGAACUUUACUUCAGUAUAUACUUAAUAAAAUUAACUUACUUGAAGUAUACUACUUUUUGGUAAGGGUACCCAUAAUUUAUUCCUAAAAUCUGUGGGAAAUGAUAGCUGAUUAACAAGGGUGUAGAAGCACCUAACCCUGACUGUAAGGCUAAAACAGAUAUUUCCUGAAAAGUUAUAUCUCAGUUCUGAUUGGUUGAUUGUAAUGUUGUUCCAGGAUCAACAAGGAUGUUGUUUGUCGUUUCUCCGAUCACAAAUGCAGACAUGAUUUAAUGUUUACGUGGCGCGAUGCAACGCAACGCAUAAAAACACAGUAUAAGUCAUUAUAAUCCAUAAUUAUGUCCCCACUGGAUGUAACAAAUGGCUCGUUUGUAAUGGGUUUUAUUGUUUUUGUCUUGUUCUGACCAGGACACGCAUCACAGUAUGUUAAGGGGCGUAACAUUUCCGUCACACGCUUGAGGCAAUCGGCCAAUCACAAUGCACUGGAUAGCUGGCCAAUCAGAGCACACCUCACUUUUUAAACCCAUGAGCUUUGUAAAAAACUACACGUUUCAGAAAGGCGGGGCAUAGAGGAGAAACAAUAAUGUACAGUAUGUGGAACAUAAUGUGUUUUUUAAACCUUAACCCGCAUAAACACUUUUUUAUUACACCAAAUACACAAAAUAAUGUUCUUUUUAGCAACAUCAUAUGUCCCCUUUAAAGAAUUUUAUUGGUGUAUUGAAAUGAAUUCAUUCCAGUUUCAUAAGUAAUGUUUUGCAUACGCAUACAGAUACUGCUUAAAAAUAAUUAUAAAAAAUAAUCAACGAUUUCAGACAUUAUGGGCAGUGAACCUGAAAUCACUUCCUACAAUGGGCGAUUGAUCAUUAAAAAAAAAAAAAAAAACGGUACUCUAUCACUCCACCUAGUGUUCAGAUUGGAUUUAAAUUAAUGAAGAGUUCAGACUACAAGCUUGUUACUAGGCGUACAGUAUUUGUAAAGAGUGAAUGCUGUUCCACACAGGCCUGUUGGGUGACUGUUCCAGACAGCACUAAUGGAGAGGUGGUGACUUUUAUAGGAAGUUGCUUUUGAGAGGGUGUCAGCCAUCAUUUUGAUCCCAUAUAGCACGAGAGCUUGUCAGGGUCUAUCAGAGAUGACAUCCGGUCACCUCCAGCAGGACAGACGCCGCUGUCACCCAUGAAUAAAACUGUGUAGAA